AUGGCGAUGGUGUUGGAUGCUUUUGCAUCCUACAUCGGGGACUACCUCAAGCAGGUGGUACAAGAUGAGCUCGGAACGAUGCUGGGCGUCUCCAGCGAGAUCGACAAGUUGGGCGACAAGCUUCUGGACCUUAAGAACUUCCUCGCAGAUGCUGAUAGGAGGAACAUCACCGACGAGACUGUCAAAGUCUGGGUGGGGCAGCUCAAGCGCGCCAUGUACGAAGCUGCUGACAUCCUCGACCUCUGCCAGCUGAAAGCUAUGGAGAAGCGUGGGCCAUCCUCUGUAGAAGCAGGGUGUUGCAAUCCCUUGCUCUUCUGCUUGCGGAAUCCUUUCCAUGCUCGUGAGAUCGGCACUCGCAUCAAGGCGCUCAACCAGAGGCUCGACUCCAUCAAGCAGCGGAGUGCUGCUUUUAACUUCAUCAAUCUUGGGUCCUACGAGGAACAUAGCAGCUCUCGUCAUGGUAAUCCCAGCCGUGAGACGUCAGGGGAGCUCGACAGGUCAGGUGUGGUUGGGGAUAAGAUCGAAGAAGAUACAAGAGCACUGGUGGCCCGGAUCACACGCUCUGGAAAUGAGGCCAGCAACAACAUUAUGGUGGUCGCUAUCGUAGGUGUUGGUGGGAUUGGCAAGACCACCCUCGCUCAAAAGGUCUUCAACGACGAGGCCAUCCAAGGUGACUUCAGCAAAAAGAUAUGGUUGAGCGUCAACCAAAACUUUAGUGAGGUUGAGCUGCUGAGAAGAGCCAUCAUCGAAGUCAGAGGAGACACUUAG
rnacentral:rRNA from 1 species